rnacentral:rRNA from 1 species
CUUGCCAAGGGCACAGCUGGGUAGCCAUGUUCGGACGGGAUAAGCGCUGAAGGCAUCUAAGCGCGAAGCCCACCCCGAGAUGAGAUUUCCCACGCGAGAGCGGUAAGACCCCUGGAAGACUACCAGGUAGAUAGGCCAGAGGUGUAAGCGUCGUAAGGCGUUUAGCUGACUGGUACUAAUAGGUCGAGGACUUGAUCUAC